rnacentral:rRNA from 1 species
CCUACGGGAGGCUGCAGUGGGGAAUCUUCCGCAAUGGGCGAAAGCCUGACGGAGCAACGCCGCGUGAGUGAAGAAGGUCUUCGGAUCGUAAAGCUCUGUUGUCGGGGACGAAAGGGUAGACGAGGUAAUGCGUUUACUAAGACGGUACCCGACGAGGAAGCCACGGCUAACUACGUGCCAGCAGCCGCGGUAAUACGUAGGCGGCAAGCGUUGUCCGGAAUUAUUGGGCGUAAAGGGAGCGCAGGUGGGACGGUAAGUCCGUCUUAAAAGGCAGGGGCUCAGCCCCUGUAAGGGAUGGAAACUAUCGAUCUUGAGUGCCGGAGAGGAAAGCGGAAUUCCCAGUGUAGCGGUGAAAUGCGUAGAUAUUGGGAAGAACACCAGUGGCGAAGGCGGCUUUCUGGACGGCAACUGACACUGAGGCUCGAAAGCCAGGGGAGCGAACGGGAUUAGAUACCCGGGUAGUC